ensembl:lincRNA
CCUGUCUGUGGUGUGCAAUUUGAGAUGUCUGGGUGCUACAAAACUGGCUGAAAGCAGAAGUGAUUCUUUCUGAAUAAACAAUGUAGUUUGCUCAUAUGUAUCACAGAAACACGAUGUUAUUACUUGUGUUUCCACAGUGAUUUGUUGGUUUUCCAGUGCAAGAGUGAUCCCUCCUUCAUUUUUACCAAAAAGAGAUUUCCUCCAUUUCUGCACUUUUUGCCCUCUGGAAUUUCAUUUGCAAGGACAGAUAAGGGGAAAAGAAUGUAAUAAGAGAUGAGGAAAAAAAUAAGCCCUUGCUGAAUGAUUGAUAUGAAUGAAGGAACUGAUGGAAUAAAUAACAAAAAUAAGAAGAUCCAGGACUACUCUCAGUCUCUGAAGCAGGUGGGAGCCCUGGCGGUAGCUAUGGAUCCAGUUCAAAGGAAUAUGAAAGGCACUGCUUUCCCAUCAAAAAGAAAUAUUCAUCCACAUAUUGAAAUUUCUUCCAUCACUUUACAUCAAGAAGAUUGAAAGCCCAAGUAAAUGACAUGACAAUGAAAAUGGAAAUCUGGAAGAAGAAAGGCAAUACUUGCAACCAAUGAUAAAGAGGUAUUCUGACUUUCAUCUGCCUUUGUGUUAAGCGUGAGAGAGCCAGACAGAAUUGCAGCAGGAACCAGAAGGAGCAAAGAAAAAGAUUACUGUUUCUUUUAUAAAAUGGUUUUUAUCCUACUGGUGUCUCUUUAAAAAUAAAAAUCAACAAAUAAAUGUCCAUUUAAAUUGAUCUUCUGUUGGACUAUGUUAUUGGUCUGACAUAUAAAUUAGUGCUUCUAAGAUUUAACUAUGUAACUGAGAACCAAUAAUAUUUUAUGGAGAGUGUCAAAUGGCUUGCCUUUACAGCAAUUCUUUUCACUGUAUCUAUUUUAUUUAAUAUGGAUGAUGGAAACCACUUUAAUCAAAAAGAUAAUAAUACUUAUUUGGAGGUAUGAUAAAGCAAAUGUCUUUGGCCACAUGCUGUUAUUGGAAUUUAAGGGCUAUUAUCUUUUGUAGGACAAUUUUUAAAAUACAGUUUAUUCUACUCAGUGCCCUAAGUCUGUUUCUUACUAGCCAUGACCUUGAGAAGCUGACUUUACCUCUCUAAGCCAUUCUCCUCCUCUGUGAAAUGGGAAUGUUAAUACCCACUCUUGUUACUCUCAGAGUGCAAUGAGGAUCAAUGAGAAGAUAAAAAUAAAUGUGUUUGGUUAACUAUGAAAUACCACGUGAAUGUUAUUAUUAUGAAUUAUUUAUAGACCAUACACUUGAUGGAGGCAAAAAGUAGACCUUUGUUGUUCCCAUGAAACCAUAGUAACUUCCACAGUGCCUGACAAGAAGUAAGAAAGCAAUAAAAGUUUGUUGAAUUUAAUAUGCCCUGAGAAGUAUAAUUAUAAAAAUGAUUGCAUGUAAAAAUAUCAAUAAAAUACAUACUAAACCACCAAACAGA